CCUACGGGAUGCAGCAGUGGGGAAUAUUGCGCAAUGGGCGAAAGCCUGACGCAGCGACGCCGCGUGAGGGAUGAAGGACUUCGGAUCGUAAACCUCUGUCAGCAGGGAAGAACGGUCACUGUGCUAAUCAGCAGUGAAUUGACGGUACCUGCAAAGGAAGCACCGGCUAACUCCGUGCCAGCAGCCGCGGUAGGACGGAGGGUGCGAGCGUUAAUCGGACUUACUGGGCGUAAAGGGCUCGUAGGAGGUAUGUCAAGUCAAGGGUGAAAUCCCCGCGCUCAACGUGGGAACUGCCUUUGAAACUGGCAACCUGGAGUGUGUGAGAGGAUAGUGGAAUUCCAGGUGUAGGAGUGAAAUCCGUAGAUAUCUGGAGGAACAUCAGUGGCGAAGGCGACUAUCUGGCACAUAACUAACGCUGAGGAGCGAAAGCGUGGGUAGCAAACAGGAUUAGAUACCCCAGUAGUC
rnacentral:rRNA from 1 species